GAUGAACGCUGGCGGCGUGCUUAAUACAUGCAAGUCGAGCGAAGGAACGAGAAGCUUGCUUCUCUGAUGUUAGCGGCGGACGGGGGAGUAAUAAGUGGAGAACCUACCUAUAAGACUGGGAUAACUUCGGGAAACAGGAGCUACUACCGGGUAAUAUUUUGAACCGCAUGGUUCAAGGGUGAAGGACGGUCUUGCUGUCACUUAGAGAUGGAUCCGCGCUGCAUUAGCUAGUUGGUAGGGUAACGGCUUACCAAGGCACCGAUGCAUAGCCGACCUGAGAGGGUGAUCGGCGCCACGGGACGUGAAACACGGCCCCUAGACCGACGGGAGGCACAGGUAGGGAAUAUACGGCACAGUGCGGAAGCCUGACGGAGCGACGCCGCGCGAGUGAUGAGGGGCUUCGGGUGGUAUAACGCUCUUAUGAGGGAAAAACAUAGUUGUAAGUAACUGUGCGCAUCUGAAGGUAGCCUAAGAAGAAGGCCACGCUAAAUAACUG
rnacentral:rRNA from 1 species